UACGUAGGGUGCAAGCGUUGUCCGGAAUUAUUGGGCGUAAAGAGCUCGUAGGCGGCUUGUCACGUCGGGUGUGAAAGCCCGGGGCUUAACCCCGGGUCUGCAUUUGAUACGGGCUAGCUAGAGUGUGGUAGGGGAGAUCGGAAUUCCUGGUGUAGCGGUGAAAUGCGCAGAUAUCAGGAGGAACACCGGUGGCGAAGGCGGAUCUCUGGGCCAUUACUGACGCUGAGGAGCGAAAGCGUGGGGAGCGAACAGG
rnacentral:rRNA from 1 species